rnacentral:rRNA from 1 species
GGAGUGAACGCUGGCGGCAGGCCUAACACAUGCAAGUCGAACGGCAGCACAGGGGAGCUUGCUCCCUGGGUGGCGAGUGGCGGACGGGUGAGGAAUACAUCGGAAUCUACCCAGUCGUGGGGGAUAACCUCGGGAAACCGGGACUAAUACCGCAUACGACCCACGGGUGAAAGCGGAGGACCGCAAGGCUUCGCGCGACUGGAUGAGCCGAUGUCGGAUUAGCUUGUUGGCGGGGUAAUGGCCCACCAAGGCGACGAUCCGUAGCUGGUCUGAGAGGAUGAUCAGCCACACUGGAACUGAGACACGGUCCAGACUCUACGGGAGCAGCAGUGGGAAUAUUGGACAAGUGGGCGCAAGCCUGAUCCAGCCAUGCCGCGUGAGUGAAGACGGCCCUGGUUAGUAAAGCUUCGUUUUGGUUAGGGAAAGUAAAGCUAAGUUCGGUUUAAAUACCCGGUUGUAACGUU